GGAAUUUUGGACAAUGGGCGAAAGCCUGAUCCAGCAAUGCCGCGUGAGUGAAGAAGGCCUUCGGGUUGUAAAGCUCUUUUGUCAGGGAAGAAACGGUGAAGGCUAAUAUCCUUCGCUAAUGACGGUACCUGAAGAAUAAGCACCGGCUAACUACGUGCCAGCAGCCGCGGUAAUACGUAGGGUGCAAGCGUUAAUCGGAAUUACUGGGCGUAAAGCGUGCGCAGGCGGUUUUGUAAGUCUGACGUGAAAUCCCCGGGCUCAACCUGGGAAUUGCGUUGGAGACUGCAAGGCUAGAAUCUGGCAGAGGGGGGUAGAAUUCCACGUGUAGCAGUGAAAUGCGUAGAGAUGUGGAGGAACACCGAUGGCGAAGGCAGCCCCCUGGGUCAAGAUUGACGCUCAUGCACGAAAGCGUGGGGAGCAAACAGGAUUAGAUACCCUGG
rnacentral:rRNA from 1 species